UACGGAGGGUGCAAGCGUUAUCCGGAUUCACUGGGUUUAAAGGGUGCGUAGGCGGAUAUGUAAGUCCGUGGUGAAAUCUCUGGGCUUAACCCGGAAACUGCCAUGGAUACUAUGUGUCUUGAAUGUUGUUGAGGUGAGCGGAAUAUGUCAUGUAGCGGUGAAAUGCUUAGAUAUGACAUAGAACACCAAUUGCGAAGGCAGCUUACUACACAGUUAUUGACGCUGAGGCACGAAAGCGUGGGGAUCAAACAGG
rnacentral:rRNA from 1 species